AUUGAACGCUAGCGGGAUGCCUUACACAUGCAAGUCGAACGGAGUGGCGAACGGGUGAGUAAUGUAUCGGAACGUGCCCAGUAGCGGGGGAUAACUACGCGAAAGCGUAGCUAAUACCGCAUACUAUUGGAGCGGCCGAUAUCGGGUUAGCUAGUUGGUGGGGUAACGGCUCACCAAGGCGACGAUCCGUAGCUGGUUUGAGAUGACGACCAGCCACACUGGGACUGAGACACGGCCCAGACUACACCGGGAGGCAGCAGAGGGGAAUUUUGGACAAUGGGGGAAACCCUGAGCCAGACCACCCGAGUGGGCGAUGAAGGCAGUCGGGUUGUAAAGCAAUUUUGGCAGGAAAGCGGUACCUGAAGAAUAAGCACCGGCUAACUACGUGCCAGCAGCCGCGGUAAUAC
rnacentral:rRNA from 1 species